CCUCCUGUCACAGCAUCCCCAAGGACAAAUGCCAAAAAAACAUUGUACCCAAAGGCAACCGCCAGAAAAGCCUUAAGCAACAAACGGUCACCUCAACUACCACCUAAGGAGUCCCCAAGCCUCGCUGGAUCCCCCAGUCUUGUCUCUGAUAAACAGCCGGGGGAUGAGGAGCAGAAUUACACUGUGGAGCAUCCUGCCUCGCCGCAAACAGCAGAAUCCCAUCAAACAGAAAUUGUCAUUGAAGAUGUGGAGGACAACACCUCUGAGACAGGAGUCGACCAUGAGAUUUUGCUAAAGAUGG